rnacentral:misc_RNA from 1 species
UCAAAUAAUAUAAAAAAUAAUAUAUAUAUUGACAUGGAUUAAACAAAGAUAUAUAUUAUUYUAUGUUGUAUAAACAAAUUGGCAAAAUAGAGAUGGAAGAUAAAAAUAUGGUCAAAGUAAUAAGAGUCUAUGGUGAAUGCCUAGGAGCUUUAAGGCGAAGAAGGUCGUGGUAAGCUGCGAAAAGCUUGGGGGAGAAGCAAACAUUUAUUGAUCCCAAGAUUACCGAAUGGAGUAAUCCAGCUAGCAAGAUGCUAGCUAUCUAUUAUCUAAAUAAUAGAGGCGAUACC